CUCUUCGUAACCUAAAUCAAUUCUUCUCUUCCUUUAUCUAGUCGCAGCAAUUUCGUCGCUCGACCGCCUAUUGCUGAUGCGAGGUCGCCCACCUCUUGCAGUUGCGAGGUCGCCGCAGUUGCGCUUGGCCGCAUCUCGAUGUGAAGGAUUCCGGAGCCUUUGUCGAGCGAUUCGAGAUAUAUCCCUCCCCCACCUCCGCCUCCUGCCGCUCGCCACCGUUUGUCUAACCUUAAGUUCCUUUUGUUUUUUGGCUUUGGGAUGUGUGUGUUUAUCAUCUGAAGCUUUGAGAUCGAGGGCUUUGUUGCUGCUAGAUACGGGAAUCCAGAUUGGAAGAGGACGCAUGAACCUGGUAGCCAGCCAGUGGUAGUGGUGUCGUGGCUUCUAAAGAACGGGGCAACCUGUGUUGGGCGGACAGUCCUGGAUGAAUUUGCAUUUGGUGCUACAGGAGAAAACUUGCUGAUAUCAAUGUUUUGGCUGGGGAAUUAAUGUUUCUAUCACCACUUUAAUGUUCAUGCAACGAUACGAAGCUAAGGCUCUAGAGAUCUAUCAGGCCUCAGACGCUGAUAUCAAGGUCUGCAUUACUUGGCAAAGUUAAAUUUGAUCAGAAUUCCAUAAAGAACAAGGUAUGUUGCUGAAAAAUUUGUACAUAACAAUGUGGUUUCUUAAUCCAGAAACUACUUUUCAUUAAAUAAAAGGCGGCUGACAUUCCGUGUUGAAUCAUUAAAUUGGUUUAGUGGUUCCUCUCCUAUCAAGGCUAGACAAUUGCAAUGCAAGAUUGUCUCAACAAAUUUGGUUGGUUCAUUAAUCCGUAUGAAGUAAUUCAUCUCAUGGAGUUUGAGACAAAGGAGGGCAAAGGGAAGAAAUCAUAGACAUGCAUGCUACUAGCAAGAGGAUAGAUGAAGAAAUUAUUGAAAGUAAAGUAUUGAACUUCUUAUCACAGGAAAUAGAUAGAGGGAAGAAAAGUUUAUCAACUAAGGUAGGCAAGGCAAAGAAAAGGAGAAGGUUUGUAAAAUGAUUCAAUAGGUGAAAUAUUCAAAUCAUUUAUAUCUUGGAAGAUCUGAUCCGUCUGAUCAUGAGCGUCGUGAUAGAAUGUAAAGAUUAGAUUACUUAUGGUGAGAUUUAAAAAUUUAUACAUUUGCUUAGAUGAUGUAAAUAUCUAUUUAUCCCAAUGUUAAUUCUAUGAUUCUGUUGGAUUAGAAA